rnacentral:rRNA from 1 species
UACGUAGGGUGCGAGCGUUGUCCGGAAUUAUUGGGCGUAAAGGGCUCAUAGGCGGUCUGUCACGUCGGGAGUGAAAACUCAGGGCUUAACCCUGAGCCUGCUUCCGAUACGGGCAGACUAGAGUACGGUAGGGGAGAUUGGAAUUCCUGGUGUAGCGGUGGAAUGCGCAGAUAUCAGGAGGAACACCGAUGGCGAAGGCAGAUCUCUGGGCCGUAACUGACGCUGAGGAGCGAAAGCGUGGGGAGCGAACAGG